UACGGAGGGGGCAAGCGUUGUUCGGAAUUACUGGGCGUAAAGGGCGCGCAGGCGGCUGCUCAAGUCAGGCGUGAAAGGCCUGGGCUCAACCCGGGAAUUGUGCUUGAGACUGGGCUGGCUUGAGUGCGGGAGAGGAUGGUGGAAUUCCCAGUGUAGAGGUGAAAUUCGUAGAUAUUGGGAAGAACACCGGUGGCGAAGGCGGCCAUCUGGACCGCAACUGACGCUGAGGCGCGAAAGCGUGGGGAGCAAACAGG
rnacentral:rRNA from 1 species